AAAAAUGGGAGUUCUUCUAUCAAGGAUCGGAGUUCUUCUUUCAAAUUGGUUUGGCCCCUCGACGGCGAGCGCCGAAGCUGCCUCAUCGGAGCCGUCGUCCGUGUUGUCUUUUCACUCCUCAGCCAGAUGGCAACUCCACUUCAAUUCCGCUCAGGAAUCUUCCAAGCUCAUGGUGAUUGAUUUCUCCGCAACGUGGUGUGGACCUUGUAGGCUAAUGGAGCCGUCCUUCAACGCCAUGGCCAGCAAAUAUACCGAUGUUGAGUUCGUCAAAAUCGAUGUCGAUGAGUUAUCUGAUGUGGCUCAACAUUUUGGAGUACAAGCAAUGCCAACAUUUGUGUUGCUGAGGAGAGGGAAAAUGGUGGAUACGGUGGUCGGAGCCCGCAAGGAAGAACUGGAGAAGAAGAUUCAGAAGCACCGAUCAGCAUCUGGUUGAACUUAAAUCUAAAAAAUCCCACCAAUAAGUUCUCUCACUCUCUUUCUUUCUCUUCCUCUUUUUAUGUAAACAUAUGCAAAUUAUCUAUAUUCUAACUUGAUCGUCGAUUUGAAUUUAAAUAUGUUAUAUUAACU
rnacentral:misc_RNA from 1 species